AUGAUACGCGAGGAACCUUACCUGGGCUCGAACGUAAGAUGACUGUAGGUGAAAGCUUACAUCUCUUCGGAGCAUUUUACGAGGUGCUGCAUGGUUGUCUCAGCUCGUGCCGUGAGGUGUCGGGUUAAGUCCCAUAACGAGCGCAACCCUACCUUAGUUGCCAUCAGGUUAAGCUGGGGACUCUAAAGGAACUGCCUACGCAAGUAGUGAGGAAGCGGGGAUGACGUCAAAUCAGCACGGCCCUUACGUCCAGGGCUACACACGUGCUACAAUGGCCGAUACAGAGGGCAGCUACCUGGUGACAGGAUGCAAAUCUCCAAAGUCGGUCUCAGUUCGGAUCGGAGUCUGCAACCCGACUCCGUGAAGUUGGAAUCGCUAGUAAUCGUGGAUCAGCAUGCCACGGUGAAUACGUUCCCGGGCCUU
rnacentral:rRNA from 1 species